CAAAGUGAGAGGACAGACAAAUCUCAAUCACGGAUCAUUGGCAAGACCAGCUUUGCAGGCACCUGGUUGACCCCAGGUGGAGAGAAAACACUCGACCUGCCUCUGCCUCUUCUUAAGGUCACUAAAAUCGAGGUGCAGAGGUGGUGAGGGACUCUGAUAAAGGACUGUCACAGAAACAGCGCUUGUGAGCGUGAGACUCGGGCCAUCUGACCGCAUCACCAUCUCCAGCUCAUCGUCUGUCAUCCACUGGCCUUCUAACCACCAGCCUACACUCCUGAAUGCUUUCAGCCCAGUCUUCUCUCCUCGCAGGAACCACGUGGGUAAUGUUC